CUUCAGCCGCUCCUUUUCUCUACAAUUUUUCUCUCUCCCUCUAUUUUUCAUUCUCUUUUAGAAAAUACCAAAAGAAUAUCCCCCAACCACAGUAAAUCGACGGUGGGCGGGGGGGGGGGGGACACAAACGCUUCUCAUUCAUCAAAAUCCGAAAACCACCCUACAAAACACCAAAAACAAUCCCCUCUCUCAACCUAAAAAGAAAUCGAUUUAAACCUAGAUUUAAAGGGCACAAGGAUACCUUCGAUGAUAUGAGCAAGGUAGUGGCUCCAAUGACGGUCGUGCUUCUCUAAAGAAAAAGGGACGAGUGUAUGAGAUCCUUGAAGAAACUAUACAGCCCAACGUGCCUCCCAAACAUUGAAAAUGGAGCCAUCAAGCGCUUUUGGGGAAUCUGGAAUAUCACGCAUGCUUCACUGGCGUUGGAUUCAGCCAUCUGAUGCGUCUGAGGCUUUCUGGAGCAAUUGGGGUCGUUGGAUCAUCACCUAUAUCCAACGUCUGAUAUCAAUGGCGGCUAGGGCUAAGAUAUUCUUUAAAAUUAGAGUUUUUCCAUGGCUGUUAGAUUAAUCAGAUCUCAUGGCUCAUAACACAUGACAACUAGUGUUUAAAGCCAUUGGGGUUUCACAUGUUUUAAGUUUUGGGUCAUUUGGGUCGAUUUAGUUUGUUCUUAGGUUACAUUUGUGAUUUAGGUUGUAAAUGGACAUUUAAUUAUUUAUUUUUGGGUUUUGGUUUAA